AAAUUGAAGAGUUUGAUCAUGGCUCAGAUUGAACGCUGGCGGCAGGCCUAACACAUGCAAGUCGAACGGUAACAGGAAGCAGCUUGCUGUUUCGCUGACGAGUGGCGGACGGGUGAGUAAUGUCUGGGAAACUGCCUGAUGGAGGGGGAUAACUACUGGAAACGGUAGCUAAUACCGCAUAACG
rnacentral:rRNA from 1 species